rnacentral:rRNA from 1 species
UACGUAGGGGUCGAGCGUUGUCCGGAAUUAUUGGGCGUAAAGGGCGUCGUAGGCGGUUUGUCGCGUCGGGAGUGAAAACUCAGGGCUCAACCCUGAGCGUGCUUUCGAUACGGGCAGACUAGAGGUAUGCAGGGGAGAACGGAAUUCCUGGUGUAGCGGUGGAAUGCGCAGAUAUCAGGAGGAACACCGGUGGCGAAGGCGGCUCUCUGGGCAUUACCUGACGCUGAGGAGCGAAAGCAUGGGGAGCGAACAGG